GACGAACGCUGGCGGCGUGCCUAAUACAUGCAAGUCGAACGCACAGUUUAUACUGUCGCUUGCUCCACCAUAGACUGUGAGUUGCGAACGGGUGAGUAACGCGUAGGUAACCUGCCUGGUAGCGGGGGAUAACUAUUGGAAACGAUAGCUAAUACCGCAUAAUAUUAAUUAUUGCAUGAUAAUUGAUUGAAAGAUGCAACUGCAUCACUACCAGAUGGACCUGCGUUGUAUUAGCUAGUAGGUGAGGUAACGGCUCACCUAGGCGACGAUACAUAGCCGACCGGCGAGGGUGGUCGGCCACACUGGGAGUGAGACACGGCCCAGACGCCUACGGGAAGGAGCAGUAGGGAAUCGUCGGCAAUGGGCGAAAGUCUGACCGAGCAACGCCGCAGGAGGGAAGAAGGGUGUCGGGUCGGAAAGCUCUGUUGUAAGGGAAGAACGGGUGUGAGAGUGGAAAGUUCACACUGUGACGGUAUCUUAACAGAAAGGAACGGCUAACUACGUG
rnacentral:rRNA from 1 species